GACGUAGGGCGCGAGCGUUGUCCGGAUUUAUUGGGCGUAAAGAGCUCGUAGGCGGCUUGUCGCGUCGAAUGUGAAAAACCCACGGCUCAACUGUGGGCUUGCAUUCGAUACGGGCAGGCUAGAGUUCGGUAGGGGAGACUGGAAUUCCUGGUGUAGCGGUGAAAUGCGCAGAUAUCAGGAGGAACACCGGUGGCGAAGGCGGGUCUCUGGGCCGAUACUGACGCUGAGGAGCGAAAGCGUGGGGAGCGAACAGG
rnacentral:rRNA from 1 species